GUUGUUGCCAAGGGAACCACUGGAAACACUGCAGCCAUCCUUAGUUUCCAGGGUGGAACUGAUCUGGAUAGAAGCAAUGGAAUGAGAUGUGUAUUUCUCUUUUUGUUUAAGGGGAGGAGAAGGGUAAAGAGAUGGUGAGAGAGAGAGAGAAACGGCAUCUGUUUUCUGGUCCUUGGGAAGAAAGCAGAGAAUGAAAGGGAAGCAGGAAGAUUAAACAAAGACUGGGGAAGGACUUCUGGCUGUAAGUUGGGAAAAGCACAGGAUGUCACAAAACCACCUGGUCACAGUCUACUAUGGCAGAAGUGACGCUGUGCCUGUCCCGAGCCCAACUUCUAAGAGGACUGUUGGGUUUGUUUCCUUACUUUGUGCCCUGAGCCACCAAGAAAGAAGCUCCACUACCCCAAGACCACCAUGUUGUGAGGAAGCCCAAGCUAGCCAUGUGGAAAUAGAGAAGCUGAUCCCUGGACAGUCCCCAUUUUCUUCAGCCCCUGCCAUUUGAGUCUUACAGCUGAGAGUCUGAAAUCAUGGAGCAGAGAGAUGCUGUCCCCAUUACAUCUCGUUCAAAUUUCUUCUCCAGAGAAUCAUGAGGUGUAACAAUAAAGAAAUGUUGUUUUAAUUUACUACAUUUCUAGUAGUUUGUUAUAGAGCAACAGAUGGUGGUGAUACAACUUUACUAUGAUACUGAAUUUUGCUGUUACCAGAGUUUAACACUUAUCAGAGGGAAGCUAAAAUCUGCCUUGAAAAGAAAUUUCCUUCAAAUAAGGUCUGUACUUCAGUUAAUGAUGUGAU